rnacentral:rRNA from 1 species
UAAGGAAUAUUGGACAAUGGGCGCAAGCCUGAUCCAGCCAUCCCGCGUGCAGGAAGACGGCCCUACGGGUUGUAAACUGCUUUUGUACAUGAAGAAACCCCUGGUUUUAACUGGGGCUGACGGUAGUGUAAGAAUAAGCACCGGCUAACUCCGUGCCAGCAGCCGCGGUAAUACGGAGGGUGCAAGCGUUAUCCGGAAUCACUGGGUUUAAAGGGUGCGUAGGUAGAAAUAUAAGUCAGAGGUGAAAGACUUGAGCUUAACUGAAGAAUUGCCUUUGAUACUGUAUAUCUUGAAUUAGGUUGAGGUUAGCGGAAUGAGUUAUGUAGCGGUGAAAUGCAUAGAUAUGACUUAGAACACCAAUUGCGAAGGCAGCUAACUGGGCCUUGAUUGACGCUGAGGCACGAAAGCAUGGGUAGCGAACAGGAUUAGAUACCCCCGUAGUCC